rnacentral:misc_RNA from 1 species
GAAAUAUAAAAUUUUAUUAAAUUUGGGAGCAGUACAAAAGGUCGGAGGCCCAAGUCCCUCCAAAGCAAAACAUAGAAAUAAAAAAAAAAAAAUCCCAAAUUGAUGGACCGGCCCACUAGAUGGCUCUAAGGAAAUCUCCAAAUGCUUGCACAGGUGAAGCUUCUAGCUGCCUCCUCCAGGGUACCACCGUAACACACCAUCGGUAAUGGUGAAGAAAACAACCCACGGGCACCUGCCCGCAUUAGUAGCACCGCAACGUACUAGCAUAGAAGCCAAACUACCAAGUCGUAUAGGACUCAGAACAGACAGACUCAGCAAAUCAAAGGAGAGCACUUUAACAGCUACAUCGUCACUUACUGUUACCUAAAUGGGUAAUAAGACCUUUCUCUAAUUGAGCAUCCUAUACUUAAAAAACACAGAGGCGCCAACAUGCGAGGACAAUGGAGCUAACUCAGAGAAGGGGGCGUUGGACAACAAUUGGGUCGGAUGCCAACCUCGAAAACUACUCAAUCUUCCACCUCUCUACUUCGGCCAAGACCACUUCAACACCAGAGACGCAACACAGAUUUACACAAAGACCCUCACUUGAAGCACCUCGAUGCGGCAAAACAAACCAUAAUAAAAAAACUAUAUACAGCCAAACCAAAAGCGAGGAGGAUCGACCCAAGUUCUGGUAAAGGGAGGGCCUUCCCAUUCCUAAGGAGGGAGGGAAAGGCACCAAGGAAGCUAAACGCUCGACUUGACCGAAAAUGUGAACCAAAAAAGUGGGGAUCAAACAAAGGAACUUUUUCAGGUAUU